rnacentral:rRNA from 1 species
AAUUUUGGGCAGUGGGGGAAACCCUGAUCCAGCCAUCCCGCGUGUAUGAUGAAGGCCUUCGGGUUGUAAAGUACUUUUGGCAGAGAAGAAAAGGUAUCUCCUAAUACGAGAUACUGCUGACGGUAUCUGCAGAAUAAGCACCGGCUAACUACGUGCCAGCAGCCGCGGUAAUACGUAGGGUGCAAGCGUUAAUCGGAAUUACUGGGCGUAAGGGUGGUGAAGGCGGUUCGAAAGAAAGAAUUGGAAACCCAAGGGUCCACCUUGGGACUGGCUUUUUAACUGGCCAGGUAGGGGAAGGCCGAGGGGGGGUAGAAUUCCACGUGUAGCAGUGAAAUGCGUAGAUAUGUGGAGGAAUACCGAUGGCGAAGGCAGCCCCCUGGGAUAAUACUGACGCUCAGACACGAAAGCGUGGGGAGCAAACA